rnacentral:rRNA from 1 species
CCUACGGGAGGCAGCAGUGAGGAAUAUUGGUCAAUGGACGCAAGUCUGAACCAGCCAAGCCGCGUGCAGGAAGACGGCCCUAUGAGUUGUAAACUGCUUUUGUAAGAGGGUAAAAGGAGGUACGCGUAUCUGUUUGAAAGUAUCGUACGAAUAAGGAUCGGCUAACUCCGUGCCAGCAGCCGCGGUAAUACGGAGGAUUCGAGCGUUAUCCGGAUUUAUUGGGUUUAAAGGGAGCGUAGGUGGGCUGUUAAGUUAGUGGUGAAAGCCCGAGGCUCAACUUUGGAAUUGCCUUUGAUACUGGUCGGCUAGAGAGCAGUUGCGGUAGGCGGAAUGUAUGGUGUAGCGGUGAAAUGCUUAGAGAUCAUACAGAACACCGAUUGCGAAGGCAGCUUACCAAGCUACUUCUGACGUUGAGGCACGAAAGCGUGGGGAGCAAACAGGAUUAGAUACCCGUGUAGUC